rnacentral:misc_RNA from 1 species
AACGCACAUGGCGCCAGGAAUGGCAUACCUGUUUGAGGGUUGGAAUGACGUUAUAGAUGUGGCUGCGUCUCGCAGAGUCAGCCGAAGUGGAUCCUUGUGACGGUGAAAGCGUGUGGCACGGACUCUGGUCCAGAGCACGGCGACCCGUCCCACUUCUACCAAAGACAACCUCAAAUCAGGCAAGGCUACCCGCUGAACUUAA